AAUUUUCAGUUCUGAGCCCCUUUUCCUUGCCCAUUUUAGUUUACGCAGAUGGAAGCAUAUGCUUGGACAUUUUACAAAAUCAAUGGAGCCCAAUUUAUGAUGUAGCUGCAAUACUUACCUCAAUUCAGUCGUUGCUUUGCGACCCAAAUCCUAACUCUCCAGCGAAUUCAGAAGCGGCUCGGAUGUUUAGU